UGGGGAAUCUUGCUCAAUGGGCGAAAGCCUGAAGCAGCGACGCCGCGUGGAGGAUGAAGGCCUUCGGGUUGUAAACUUCUGUUAAGUGGGAAAAAAGACUUUCUGUUAAUACCAGAGGGGGAUGAUUGUACCACUAUAGAAAGCACUGGCUAAUCUCGUGCCAGCAGCCGCGGUAAUACGAGAGGUGCAAGCGUUAUUCGGAAUCAUUGGGCGUAAAGGGUGCGUAGACGGCAUUGUAAGCCUGUUGUU
rnacentral:rRNA from 1 species